GAUGAACGCUAGCUACAGGCUUAACACAUGCAAGUCGAGGGACCGGCGCACGGGAGAGUAACCCGUAUCCAACCUGCCCUUUACUCGGGGAUAGCCUUUAGAAAGAAAGAUUAAUACCCGAUGUAACGGCUGGGGAUGCGUUCCAUUAGGUUGUUGGUGAGGUAACGGCUCACCAAGCCUUCGAUGGAUAGGGGUUCUGAGAGGAAGGUCCCCCACAUUGGAACGGAGACACUGUCCAAACGCCUACGGGAGGCAGCAGUGAGGAAUAGUGGGGAAUGGGCUUUAGCCUGAACCAGCCAAGUAGCGUGAAGGAUGAAGGCUUAUGGGUCGUAAACUUCUUGUAAAUAAGAAGAGGUAGUAUAUGAAUAAGGAUCGGCUAACUCCGUGCCAGCAGCCGCGGUAAUAC
rnacentral:rRNA from 1 species